CCAAAAAUACAGGAAAAGAUAACAAGUAAGGUGAAAGGCUGCUUAUUUAGCCACGCAAAUUUGCCUACGAGCUUUUUGUUGCGCAAGCCGCAACAUUAGCAUUUAAGGGGGAAAAGCGCCCUUCCUUUAGUAGGGAAAAGCUUGCUAUUUCUUUUUUUUUGGUGAACUACCUUAGCCUUGUGGCGUAAGCGACUUCCGUUGCUUCACCCAAAGCCUGUUUGAAGAAAUAGAAGCGAUGCCUUUUGGCAACGCUUGUUGCAAGCAGCAAGUAGAAAAGAGACAUAGUGGCAACCAAAAAGAAAAGGGAGUUUCUUAAUAAGAAAUAAUUAAAUAACAUAAGAAAUGAGCUCUUUGUAGCUAAGAAAAAGAUCCUUUUGGCGCAGCAGCUGCUAGCUACGCUGGCCAACAUUUGUAGUUA
rnacentral:lncRNA from 1 species